AGUAAUUUAGUUAAAUAUAAUAUUAACUUGUCAAGUUAAAGUAACAUAAUUUUUUGUAAUUACUA
rnacentral:tRNA from 1 species